UCUGGUGGUUUAACGCGGUGGUCACACCUCUUACCAUUCCGAACAGAGUCGUUAAGCGCCGUAGUACCGAUGGUACUCACAAGGGAGAGUAGGUAGCCGCCAGAA
rnacentral:rRNA from 1 species